rnacentral:rRNA from 1 species
AUGUCGCCGCCCCUCGAGCCGCACGACUACAUCGGCCUCUCCGCCCCCACCUCCUCCUCCUCCUGCUCCUCCUCGCCCAGCCCCGCCGCCGAGGCCGGGCCCCGCCUCACGCUCCGCCUCGGCCUCCCGGGAUCCGAGUCCCCCGACCGCGACGGCUCCGUCGACGUCGUCGCGCCGGCGCUCACCCUCGGCCCCGCCUCCCACAAGGCCGCCUCCAAGCGCGCCUUCCCCGACGCCUCCCCCCGCCGCGGAUGCUCCGCCACCGCCAGGGCCGAGGAGAAGCCGCCCUCCGCAGCCCCGCCGGCCGCCAAGGCGCAGGUUGUGGGAUGGCCGCCCGUGCGCAACUACCGGAAGAACACGCUGGCGGCGAGCGCCUCCAAGGCCAAGGGGGCAGACGACGGCGCGCCUCACUACGUGAAGGUGAGCAUGGAUGGCGCCCCGUACCUCAGGAAGGUGGACCUCAAGAUGUAUUCCAGCUACGAGGAUCUCUCCAUGGCACUUCAGAAGAUGUUCAGCUGCUUCAUCACUGGUCAAAGCUCGCUGCGCAAACCAUCAACCAAGGACAGGCUCACUAAUCGUUCAAAUGUUGAUUCCCUCCAAGAUCAAGAGUAUGUCCUUACAUACGAAGACAAGGACGCUGACUGGAUGCUUGUCGGUGAUCUUCCAUGGGAUUUGUUUACCACAAUAUGCAGGAAACUGAAAAUCAUGAGAGGAUCUGAUGCAGCUGGAAUAGCUCCAAGAUCCCUAGAGCAGACAGGUCAGAACAAAUAA